GACGAACGCUGGCGGCGUGCUUAACACAUGCAAGUCGAACGGAUUGGCGAACGGGUGAGUAACACGUUGGUGAUCUGCCUUGCACUUCGGGAUAAGCUUGGGAAACUGGGUCUAAUACCGGAUAGUGCAAGAUGAGCUCGCGGCCUAUCAGCUUGUUGGUGGGGUAAUUGCCUACCAAGGCCUCGACGGGUAGCCGGCCUGAGAGGGUGUACGGCAACAGUGGGACUGAGAUACGGCCCAGACUCCUACGGGAGGCAGCAGUGGGGAAUAUUGCACAAUGGGCGGAAGCCUGAGGCAGCGACGCCGCGGGGGGGAGGAAGGCCUUCGGGUUGUAAACUCCUUUCGACAGGGACGCGGUACCUGUAUAAGAAGCACCGGCUAACUACGUGCCAGCAGCCGCGGUAAUUC
rnacentral:rRNA from 1 species